rnacentral:rRNA from 1 species
GACGAACGCUGGCGGCGUGCUUAACACAUGCAAGUCGAACGAAGUGGCGAACGGGUGAGUAACGCGUAAUCAAACUGCCCUUCAGAGGGGGACAACAGGUGGACACGACUGCUAAUACCGCAUACUGAAGGAGGGGCUUGCGUCUGAUUAGCUAGCUGGAGGGGUAACGGCCCCCCAAGGCGAUGAUCAGUAGCCCGACUGAGAGGACGAACGGCCACAUUGGGACGGAGACACGGCCCAGAGCACGACGGGAAGGAGCAGUGGGGAAUCUUCCGCAAUGGGCGAAAGUCUGACCAAGCAACGCCGCGUGAGUGAUGACGGCCUUCGGGUUGUAAAGCUCUGUUAAUCGGGACGCGGUACCGGAAUAGAAAGCCACGGCUAACUACGUGCCAGCAGCCGCGGUAAUUC